rnacentral:lncRNA from 1 species
CAUAGGUUUGAGUUAUCAUAGUGGUUGAUGUAAAUCUCACCUCAUCCUUAGUGUUGGAUUAUAAGCCUUCCAUGCUUAUUAUAGGGUUAACCCCUCACUAGCAUGCUGAAGCCUUCCUCACAUGGUGGAUUGUUGGUUUAGGUUGAGUUCUCCCCCUUUGAUAACAAAAGACCUUAAGGCUUUCGAUUAAAAUCAAUUCACCAAUCUUUGAAAUUUUU